rnacentral:rRNA from 1 species
UACGUAGGGGGCAAGCGUUGUCCGGAUUCAUUGGGUUUAAAGGGUGCGUAGGCGGCUUAUUAAGUCAGGGGUGAAAGACGGUGGCUCAACCAUCGCAGUGCCCUUGAUACUGAUGAGCUUGAAUACACUUGAGGUAGGCGGAAUGUGACAAGUAGCGGUGAAAUGCAUAGAUAUGUCACAGAACACCAAUUGCGAAGGCAGCUUACUAAGGUGCAAUUGACGCUGAGGCACGAAAGCGUGGGGAUCAAACAGG